UUCGCAGUAUAUUCCUUGUGAUAUUGGUGUCAUUUAAAUUAUCCAAUCACAGGAUUAUACUGUGAG
rnacentral:pre_miRNA from 1 species